rnacentral:rRNA from 1 species
UACGUAGGGUCCAAGCGUUAAUCGGAAUUACUGGGCAUAAAGGGUGCGUAGGCGGUCGGGUAAGUCUGCUGUGAAAACUCGAGGCUCAACCUCGAGACGUCGGCGGAAACCAUCUGGCUAGAGUCCGGAAGAGGAGAGUGGAAUUCCUGGUGUAGCGGUGAAAUGCGCAGAUAUCAGGAAGAACACCCGUGGCGAAGGCGGCUCACUGGGACGGUACUGACGCUGAGACGCGAAAGCGUGGGGAGCAAACAGG